GGUUAAGUGAAUAAGGGCGCACGGUGGAUGCCUUGGCACUAGGAGCCGAUGAAGGACGGGACUAACACCGAUAUGCUUUGGGGAGCUGUAAGUAAGCUAUGAUCCAGAGAUUUCCGAAUGGGGGAACCCAAUAUCUUUUAUAGGAUAUUACUUUUCAGUGAAUACAUAGCUGAUUAGAGGUAGACGCAGAGAACUGAAACAUCUUAGUACCUGCAGGAAGAGAAAGAAAAUUCGAUUCCCUGAGUAGCGGCGAGCGAAACGGGAAGAGCCCAAACCAACAAGCUUGCUUGUUGGGGUUGUAGGACUCCAAUAUGGUAGUCUGUUAGUAUAGUUGAAGGAUUUGGAAAAUUCCGCUAAAGAGGGUGAAAGCCCCGUAGACGAAAUGCUGACAACACCUAGGAGGAUCCUGAGUACGGCGGAACACGAGAAAUUCCGUCGGAAUCCGCGGGGACCAUCCCGCAAGGCUAAAUACUCCCUAGUGACCGAUAGUGAACCAGUACCGUGAGGGAAAGGUGAAAAGCACCCCGGAAGGGGAGUGAAAUAGAUCCUGAAACCGUGUGCCUACAACAAGUCAAAGCUCGUUAAUGAGUGAUGGCGUGCCUUUUGUAGAAUGAACCGGCGAGUUACGAUUGCAUGCGAGGUUAAGUCGAAGAGACGGAGCCGCAGCGAAAGCGAGUCUGAAUAGGGCGAAUGAGUAUGUAGUCGUAGACCCGAAACCAUGUGAUCUACCCAUGUCCAGGUUGAAGGUGCGGUAAAACGCACUGGAGGACCGAACCCACGUACGUUGAAAAGUGCGGGGAUGAGGUGUGGGUAGCGGAGAAAUUCCAAACGAACUUGGAGAUAGCUGGUUCUCUCCGAAAUAGCUUUAGGGCUAGCCUCGGAAUUGAGAAUGAUGGAGGUAGAGCACUGUUUGGACUAGGGGCCCAUCUCGGGUUACCGAAUUCAGAUAAACUCCGAAUGCCAUUCAUUUAUAUCCGGGAGUCAGACUGCGAGUGAUAAGAUCCGUAGUCGAAAGGGAAACAGCCCAGACCACCAGCUAAGGUCCCAAAAUAUAUGUUAAGUGGAAAAGGAUGUGGGGUUGCACAGACAACUAGGAUGUUGGCUUAGAAGCAGCCACCAUUUAAAGAGUGCGUAAUAGCUCACUAGUCGAGUGACCCUGCGCCGAAAAUGUACCGGGGCUAAACAUAUUACCGAAGCUGUGGACUACACCAUUAGGUGUAGUGGUAGGAGAGCGUUCUAAGGGCGUUGAAGGUCGAUCGUGAGGACGGCUGGAGCGCUUAGAAGUGAGAAUGCCGGUAUGAGUAGCGAAAGACAGGUGAGAAUCCUGUCCACCGUAUGACUAAGGUUUCCUGGGGAAGGCUCGUCCGCCCAGGGUUAGUCGGGACCUAAGCCGAGGCCGAUAGGCGUAGGCGAUGGACAACAGGUUGAUAUUCCUGUACCAGUUGUUUUUGUUUGAGCAAUGGAGGGACGCAGUAGGCUAAGGAAUGCAUGCGAUUGGAAGUGCAUGUCCAAGCAAUGAGUCUUGAGUAGAGUUAAAUGCUUUACUCUUUAAGGACAAGUUGUGACGGGGAGCGAAAUAAUAGUAGCGAAGUUCCUGAUGUCACACUGCCAAGAAAAGCUUCUAGUGAGAAAACAACUGCCCGUACCGUAAACCGACACAGGUAGUCGAGGAGAGUAUCCUAAGGUGAGCGAGCGAACUCUCGUUAAGGAACUCGGCAAAAUGACCCCGUAACUUCGGGAGAAGGGGUGCUGACUUCGGUCAGCCGCAGUGAAUAGGCCCAAGCGACUGUUUAUCAAAAACACAGGUCUCUGCAAAAUCGUAAGAUGAAGUAUAGGGGCUGACGCCUGCCCGGUGCUGGAAGGUUAAGAGGAUGGGUUAGCUUCGGCGAAGCUCAGAAUUGAAGCCCCAGUAAACGGCGGCCGUAACUAUAACGGUCCUAAGGUAGCGAAAUUCCUUGUCGGGUAAGUUCCGACCCGCACGAAAGGCGUAACGA
rnacentral:rRNA from 2 species